AGUAGCUUAUGGCUUUAGAGUAGAAUAUAUCAGCCAAAACAUAGAGGCUGUUAAUACUCAUAGGGAUAAACCAGGGGAUGUCUGUAGGAAGAGGAGUACCGCUGAGGCUCUAUCUACAGUCCCUCCCCACUACUAAUCUGUGAUAUUCUUAGGCAGCUAAAGACUUGUGAACAAAAUGGAAGAUAGAAAUGGAUAUUCAGGAUCAUAAAAGUCAUCAAUGGAAAAAGAAACAUGAAACACAUUUAUAGAAAUGACUUGAAAAGUAGCAAGAAUAGUAAAAUGAAUAAAAAGACUAAAAUUGAUAAAUAAGAUUUUAAUGCAAAAUUACUGCUGAAGAGAAACAAACUAUAUGUUUUAGGAUAUGUAAAUGGAAAACCAAAGCAAACAUUUUUAAGUCAAUCUUAAAGAAGCUACAAGUUCUUAAAAACUAAAUGUAAAUGUAAAUGCUAACAGAUCUAAAUGAAGAAAACCAGAAAUUGAAACAAUAUAGUUUUUUUAUUUAUUGUAUAUGAGUAGAACAACAAGUUUGUAUGUUUUUGAAGAAUGAAGAGUUUUAUUAUCGAGUCUAUAUGAUCUUGAAUGUGCCAUAUAUAUUGUGUUGGUAUAAUGUUGUGGGUGCAAUAUAGUAUGUGUAUGGUGCAAUUGGAGUGAAAUUUUCCUUAAUUUUUAGUGUUUUUAUAUUUUUUCAAGUUUGAAUUAUUUAAUUUUUACCAAACACUUGAUGUUUUCUUUGCCCUUGAAACUUUUUUCUUUAACUACUCAAACAUUUGAAAACAAACUUACAAUGUUUUAGGGAAAGUUGUAGGAAUACUUGGAUCUUUGGGUCUUAUUCAGAAAACAAACAUGGCAGCCAUUGUUGAAAAUAUAAGUUUUCUUAUUGACUGAAAUUUAUGAGACCUUCUAGCAAACUGGUGAACAAGUUAGAACUAAUUACUUAUAAACACAGAAUGGUCCUUGUAUUGUAUAAACUGAUUGAACAAUCAAUAUUUUUGCAAGUGAAUUAUUUUUACAUUGGAGACCAUGGUAAACAACCAACUCCUAAGUGUUGUUAACAAAAUGUGGAUCAGUUAGUGAACUUCAAGACUUUAUGUUUUAUAAUAAAGAUUUCAACUAUUUAUAAAAAAAAUGGUCAACUCGACUACAUUUUGUAGUGCUACAAGCAUCAGCUGAGUUACCUAACUAAAAACCAAAUACACAUAUGUCAUGUAUGUAUGAAAGAAAUGCUUGAUGGCACUGAUGUAGCCACUAGGUAGCAAGUUAAACAUUGCAGCCGUUAGGUUAUUGGGUUCUUAUCAAGUGCUAUAACUUUUUGGCGAUCAUCUGACCAAUAUGGUCUCAGCAAGGGCAGGGUUUUUACAUUAAAACAAUAUUGCAAAACCUUAAUAUUAUUGUAAUAGGAAUUUUAAUUGAUUGUAUUGUGUAUCUUUUGUGAAGUAUACCUGUGUUUCAUUGUCUUGUGGUAUGCAUAUAAUUACUGAAUGGAGUUACUGUGGAUUCAUUAUUAUUUGUUGGAUAUCAAUUUUCAAGGAUUUUGUUGUACAAGGAAACCAUGCUUUUAUCGUUCAAGGAAUUACAAAUGUGCUGUAUGGUUAUAUGCAGACUUUUAGAAAAACACGAAAUCAAAUAUCCACAAAAAUGCAAGUUUUUCUUAAUCCACAAAAAUUGUUAACCAUGAAAAUAAAUUAAUCCACAGUAUGACAUAGUACAUGUUGCAGCUAUUUUAUUGUAUGUCGUCUUAUUCUUUGUUACUUAUAAUAAGUUUUAAAUAUUUUGUAGCUUUAUGUAGUAUAUUUUACAAUAGAGUUACAGUGAUGAAUUAAACUUGCCACAAUC